rnacentral:lncRNA from 1 species
GGCGCGGCGUCGCGGAGCUCGGGCCGGUGGAAGGUUUACCUGCUAGGCUCGUCCCACCUGUGUGGAGCUCCCAUCGCCCUCCAGCGUUGCGCAGCCUGAAGGGACAGGACGGACAAGCGGGUGCCUCCUUCUAAUUCAUCUUCACCAUUGUGGUUGUCAAUAUGGCAUGCAGAAUUAUCCCUCUUUCCAGCUUCUGGAGUCUACCUGGAUUCCUGGGCUCAUGGCCCCUUCCUCCAUCUUCAAACCAGCAAUGAUUGGAACGACCUGGAGCAGCCAGCAGAGUGACAAAUGAGGAAGAGGACAGAAUCUAGCUGAAGAAGCUCUGGAAGAUACCAUUUGAAGUCUUGAGUGCUUGAACUCACAAAGAAAGCACAUGAGUACACACUAGCACUUGAGCUCUUCAUUUUAAACAGAAUAAAGAAUGUACUGCUAUUAUUGUCAUUUUACAGAUAGGGAAAUUCAGACUCACCAGGGCUACUCAGAUACAAAGAAAAUGAGCCAGAAUUUCAAGCAAGCCUGAGCUUAGAAUCUACACUAUUUUUUUUUUUUUUUUUGAGACAUGGUCUUACUUUGUCACCCAGGCUGGAGUUCAGUGGUAUUAGGUUGGCACAAAAGUAAUUGUGGUCUCUGCCACUUAAAACUAGAGCCCGAAACUGCAAUUACUUUUGCACCAACCUAAUGCACUUACCAGAGCUCACUUACGCCUUGACCUCCUGGGCUCAAGUGAUUCUCCCACCUCAGCCUCCCAAGUGGCUGGGAAUGUGGGCAUGCACCACCCUGCCCGGCUAGCUUUUCUUUCUUUUUUUUUUGUGGAGACAGGAUUUUGCCAUGUUGUCCCGGCUGGUCUUUAACUCCUGAGCUCAAACUAUCCUUCUGCCCUGGCCUCCCAAAGUUCUGGGAUUACAGGCAUGAGCCACUGUGCCCGGCCCAGAACCUAUGCUCCUAACUGCCACACCAAUUGACCUCUAUUCAGCCAUUUUUAUUUCUAUAGCACUUGGUAUAAUUUCACUUUGCACACAGUAUCUAUAGAUAAUCAUUCCAGGGCAUGUAAUCGUCAUAAGAUUAUUUAUGUUAUUGCAUGUGUAUUACUGCAUGUAAUCUUCAUGUGUUAUUGCCUCUAACAAGUUAUGUAUUUCCAUGUAGUCUUCAUAACUGUGUAUAGAAGACCAUUUUAGAGAUGGAAAACUGAGACUCAGAAGUGGUAAUUGUCCUACUGGUCAGAGAUUUAGCCAGGGUUUGGAUUGUGGAAUGCAGAGGACCACUUACUUUUCACUAGACCAUAAAUGCUCCUCACCACUGAGGCAUGUCAAAUGCCAGAUAUCUCCAGGAACCUUAGGCUACGUCUCCAUUGUUUUUGCUUUUUCCCCCCUUAGACACAGCUUGGCAAAGAACAAAUGAUCCCAAACACCAAACAGCACACUUGGAAACAUUUAACCCGCAUACUUUCAGACUUUCUGGCAUGGACCAACCUCUUGUCUUACCUUUGUUCCUGGCCAGAAAGAAAUGGCAUGAAAAGAUGGACAGUUUUUAUAACCUCUUUGAGCUCUAAACCAUGUUUCCUGUGCACUUAGGAGAUCUUAAUAGAAACCAAGUACUUCUUUUAGGCAUCUAUACUCUUAAUGCCGUAAGUCAAGUCAAGUACCCAGGUGGUUAAGAUAACUGUACCAACAGAAACAUUUUUAAAAAAUAUCCUAACACAACAUGAAGUGACCAUCGCGAAUUCAAAGAAGCAGGCAUAUUUCUUAAAGGUUGAAAAGAGGUGAGUCUUUCACAAGAUUCUAGCUCAAGGCCAUAUUUGCACAAGUAUAGUCAUUCCUCUAGCAAGGUUUUGUUUAUCUGGCCAUUAAAAAAAAUUAAAACAACUUUUACUUUCG